rfam:Chryseobacterium indologenes strain CI_885 contig_18, whole genome shotgun sequence.
GCGGCGGAACCUGAAAAGCCUGAACAGAGUAGGGA